CAAACCUUGGGGAUUAGUCAAAGCUUAUCGAUUGUUAAUUAUUAUCGUUGGGAUACAAAAUACUUCCGACAGCUUGGUCCUUCGAAAGCCAGAACUCAAUACCUGCUUCUGUCGGUCCAUGAAGACAGCGAAACCAUGCACGGGCGGAUGAAAUAUCCGUAGAUUAAAGACCUGGCCCCUUGCUGAGGGUUCUUCACAGGCUGGUGGCAAACUGGUUUGCGACAGAAGCGGUGACGAGAUCCUACCAACAUUGAAACCUCAGCUGCAAAAAAACAAGGUCAGGGGCCCAGCACGGAAAUGCGGACGCCCUAUCCAGGAGGGAUGCAAACCUAGCCCUGAGCAUGCCUCCCUCCCAGUUAGAGCUAAGGGGCUGUGUGUGUGGAAUCCCAGGAGGUCUACCCCGGGGGAUGGUAAUAGAGGGGAGGUACGUGAGACGACGUUGGCUCCCUCUGCUGGGGAUACGGGAGCUGGGCACCCCGACACGGACAUCUAUAAGUGGAGGUAAUUAGAGGAAAGUGCCAACCAGCCGUGGAGGCUAAAUAAAAGGAGCUCGAUGGCACACCGUGAGAGAGAAGGGGGAGAGACGGACACCAGUUAAGAGAGAGAAGAAAGACCGA
rnacentral:lncRNA from 1 species